rnacentral:rRNA from 1 species
UCCUGCCGGAGGCUACCGCUAUUGGAGUUCGAUUAAGCCAUGCGAGUCGAGAGUCUUAGGGACUCGGCGUACCGCUCAGUAACACGUGGGUAACCUGCCCUAUGCUGGGGAAUAACCUCGGGAAACUGAGAAUAAUGCCCCAUAGUUCACUACGCCUGGAACGGUGAGUGGAUGAAAGCUCCGGCGGCAUAGGAUGGGCCUGCGGCGUAUCAGGUCGUAGGGGGUGUAACGUACCCUCUAGCCAUCGACGCGUACGGGUGUUGGGAGACAUAGCCCGGAGAUGGAUUCUGAGACACGAAUCCAGACCCUACGGGGUGCAGCAGGCGCGAAAACUUGGCAAUGCGAGAAAUCGUGACCAGGGAACUCCAAGUGGCUGGGGUAAGACCCAGUCUUUUCUUGACUCUUCAAAGGUCUUGGAAUAAGAGGUGGGUAAGGACGGUGCCAGCCGCCGCGGUAAUACCGGCGCCUCAAGUGGUAGUCGAUUUUAUUGGGCCUAAAACGUCCGUAGCCUGUUUGGUACAUUCGUGGGUAAAUCAACCAGCUCAACUGGUUGAAUUCUGCGAGCACGGCCAGACUUGGGACCGGGAGAGGUGUGGGGUACGCUCAGGGUAGGGGUAAAAUCCUGUCAUCCUGAGCGGACCACCUGUUGCGAAGGCGCCACACUAGAACGGAUCCGACGGUCAGGGACGAAGCCUAGGGGCACGAACCGGAUUAGAUACCCGGGUAGUCCUAGGUGUAAACGCUGUGGACUUGGUGUUGGGGAUUCUCAGAGGAUUCUCAGUGCCGAAGCGAAGGUGAUAAGUCCACUGCCUGGGGAGUACGGUCGCAAGGCUGAAACUUAAAGGAAUUGGCGGGGGAGCACCGCAACCUGAGGAU